AACAAGUACCGUGAUGGAAAGUUGCAAAGCACUUUGAAGAGAGAGUCAAAAAGCACGUGAAACCACUGACAGGCAAACAGAUGGAACCACGAAGUUGCGUCUCGGUCGAUUCAAUCGCUGCUGGUUGUCAACGGUGUCUCAUGGGGAUCUUUUCGGGGGUCAGUGCGACACUUUUAGGCGGCCAGCGUCGGUGCAUUUCGUGCCGAGGAUGCUAAGCCACGUUCGACCAAGUGAUUGGGACGACCGUAGGGAAGGAUUUGAGAAAGGUGCCCGUCAGAUCUUUGAUUUGGCGGUGUUAUAGUCUCGAAUCGGAACCGUCGCCUAAUGUGUUGGUCGAUGAAAAUUCUCCGUUCGGAGUCGAGCUGCGAUUGCCUGUGAUCGGCAGUCGUCGUUUCGAGGUGUUCUUUGCGUGUCUUGCGGUGCGAAAAGACGUCUCAACAAUGGCGGCUGUCGUUUGCUUGCGUUUGGCGGCAGAACUGUGGCACGAGUAGGUCGGUGUCCAUCUGACCCGUCUUGAAACACGGACCAAGGAG
rnacentral:rRNA from 1 species